GGCUGGGUAGCUCAGUCGGUAGAGCAGCGGACUGAAAAUCCGUGUGUCGGCGGUUCGAUUCCGCCCCCAGCCA
rfam:Methylacidiphilum infernorum V4, complete genome.